UAGCCAGCUAGGGACACAUUUAUAUGCUUCAAUGAUGAGAGGCACGUUCAUAAUCCUCAUGUUUGCUGUGGGAACUUGGAUCAGUUCUGCUCAUGCAAGGGCUUUGAUAGAUCAAAGUCCUUCCAAGCAUCCCCCGUCUUCUUUCCUUGGUACAGAAAACAUUGGAAGUAAGUUUUUCGUGACCAAGACAGGUUUGAAUGGAAAUUAUACCCGAAGGUCCAAAUCCCCGCCUCCUCCGCCCAAAGCAGCACCAACACCAAAGCAAACACCGACGAUCGCCAAUAUACUCGAGAAAUCUCCUCCGAGCAGUCGAUACAUAUCUUCAGCUUGAGGGAGAUAGUGGACGAUGGAAUAAUGGAGUCAGUGUAAAUGUGUGAUAUAAAUUAGUCUUCCAAGUUUAUCAGUACGUAAUUUCAAUUUUAAGGUGUGUUUAAUUAGUUUGAUGUCUUGUUUGUGCUUCAGCCAUGUUUAAUAAAGUUAAUACAUAAACCUCGCUGAGUUUAAUUCAUGGCGCA